AUGUUUUUGUUGUCUCACAUUUUAUGCAGAGAACCACUUCACAGGAUGAGGAGUUGGAAUUGCUAUUUUCUGGGCUCUCUCUAGGAUGAUGAUAAGAAGCAAACUUCAUAUUCCCACGAAGUUUUUUGGUUCGUCUGAUCAAGCAUUUCAGGUGCAUCUGUAAAUUGUAAUGCUGCUUAAACUUUUGGUUGGUCUGGAAGUUGAGCAUUGAAGAGUGGUUGUGGUUUCAAAUCUGAUGGUCAUCCUUUAUCCUGCCUUUACAUGUAUAGCCUCCAAUGGUGUACGAGCGGGAAAAGGAAAAAAGGUUUCUGUUGGUUUGGCUUUAGGAGGUGUAUAUAUGCAGGAAAGGUUUCUCAGGCUCGUAUCAUAUAUAGUUGUGUUGUUGUUAAUGCAUUUUUCAACACAUCGUUAUUUGCUGUUAUGUUUUAUUAUCAAAAACACUGCCCCUAUUGUAACUAGGCAAUGUUUAGUCUUGCAUUCGUGAGCCAGUUGACUAUGGGUCCUACUAUAUUAUAUAAUAAAUUCAAUAAAAAGGCGUAUCCUUUUAAAAUUAUAUAAAA